UACGUAGGGGGCGAGCGUUGUCCGAAGUUACUGGGCGUAAAGCGCGCGUAGGCGGGGGAUUAAGUGAGAGGUGAAAGGCUGGGGCUCAACCUCAUGCAGUGCCUCUCAUACUGGUCUUCUUGAGGGCGGUAGGGAGAAGUGGAAUGGCUGGUGUAGCGGUGAAAUGCGUAGAUAUCGGGAGGAACACCAGUGGCGAAGGCGGCUCUCUGGGCAGAUACUGACACUGAGACGCGAAAGCGUGGGGAGCAAACAGG
rnacentral:rRNA from 1 species